rnacentral:tRNA from 1 species
GGGGUUGUGACUCAACGGUAGAGCGCUCACCUAGCACAUGAGAGGCCCUGAGUUCAAUCCUCAGAACCACA